GAUCAUGGCUCAGGAUGAACGCUAGCUACAGGCUUAACACAUGCAAGUCGAGGGGCGGCAUAUUGGUUGCUUGCAACCGAUGAUGGCGACCGGCGCACGGGUGAGUAACGCGUAUCCAACCUACCCUUGUCCAUCGGAUAACCCGUCGAAAGGCGGCCUAACACGAUAUGCGGUUCACAGCAGGCAUCUAACGUGAACGAAAUGUGAAGGAGAAGGAUGGGGAUGCGU
rnacentral:rRNA from 1 species